rnacentral:tRNA from 1 species
AAGUUGGUGGUUCAGUGGUGGAAUUCUCACCUUCCAUGCAAGAGACCUGGGUCUGAUUCCCAGCCAAUGCA